AUCCUAGAAAAACAAUAGAGUUUCUAAACCAAGAAAAAACAAAAUAACAACAAAUAAAAACAAAAUAAAACAUUAACACAACAAUAAAAAUAAAUUAGCAAGUAAUAGAGAAUGAAAACUAAUCCCGCCCAAUAAAAAUUUUUUAAAAAAGUCAAUAAAACAUCAAUCACAAAAUAGAAACAUCUACAAAAAAGUACUGAAAAGGAAAGUGCCCAAAUAGAAAAAACACUAAUCUAGAACACAUCAUAAACACCCCUUAUUAUUCCUCUUGCAUCAGGAGCUUAUAAGAAAAAGUAUAAAUAAAUACAAACAAACCAUACAAACAAAAUAAGAAACACUAAAUUUAUACAACCCGAAACCUUGUGAUCUAAUCAUGAACAGACCAAAAAGAGCCAAUUAAAAAAUGUUACAAUAUUUUUAAAGGAUUUUUGAAUAGAAACAAAAAGUCAAACAACCAAGGAUAUAACUGGUUUUCGAAGAAAAAUAUUUAAGUAUCAUAAAAAUUAGAAAAUAAAAAAAGUAAUAAUUCCUCUAAAAAAAAAGACAAACCAACUGUGAAAAGAUAGCUGGUUUAAAUGGAAACAGCCAUAACCUACAUUAAAAGAUUAAAAAAAUAUCCUCCUACACAAAUAAAAAGUAGACUCAAAAACAGCCACCUUCUAACAAAAACGUAACUGUUUAUCACAACAACAACAAGGAUAAAAAAUCAACAAAAUAAAACUCAAGAUUAGGUCCCCAAGAAAUACUCGAAUAACAAAAACAAUUUAAGCACUAGUAAAUACAACAAUACAACCCAAAGAAGACAAACCGGUCCUUAACAACCAAAAGAUUAAAAAAAAAUGACAACCCGUUCUCUAAUCCAGCACCGGUGGGACAAUACCCCUAAAAAAAAAUCUUAAGGAACUCGGCAAAACAGAAAUUCGACUGUUUACCAAAAACAUAGCUAUUAGAAAAAAGUAUUAAUAGUGAUGCCUGCUCAAUGAUUGAACAAUAAAAAAUCAACAACAAUUAAAUUGCCGCGGUAACACCUGACCGUGCAAAGGUAGCACAACAAGCAGCCUAUUAAUUAUAGGAUAGAAUGAAGGUAAAACGAAAUUUCAACUGUCUCAAGACCAAAUAUCCAAAAUAGAAUGUGUGUGCAAAUCCACACCACAGUAGCAAGACGAUAAGACCCUAAGAACUUUACCAAAAACUUACUCACAAUAAUAAGUCAUAAGUUUCGUUGGGGCAACGAUCUUUAAAAAAGUAACUAAGAUUCAACCAAUCAAAAACACACAGAUCAAUAAAUCUACAACAACGAUAAGACCCAUUAAAUAAAACCACAUUAAUGACAAAAAACAAAAGCUCCCUAGGGAUAACAGCGUUAUAUCGUCAAUAGAAAACAAUCCAGACGAUGUUUGCGACCUCGAUGUUGAAUUGCUAUACCCCAAAAUGCAACCCCGUUUAAAGGUUGGACUGUCCUUCCAUUAAAAUAGCCCAUGAUUUGAGUUCAGACCGAGGCAACUCAGGUCAGAUUCUAUCUACUACUACAAAAAAGACACAAUAUAAGUACGAAAGGAAAAUAUUCAAAACCCCAUAGUAUCCAUCCACGAAAAACUAUAAAGUUUAUAAAACAUAAAACCCUACCAAACACAAA
rnacentral:rRNA from 1 species